UUGGAGGGCAAGUCUGGUGCCGGCAGCCGCGGUAAUUCCAGCUCCAAUAGCGUAUAUUAAAGUUGUUGCAGUUAAAAAGCUCGUAGUUGAAUUUCGGGAUCAGAGUGUCGGUCGUGCCUCGGUACGCACUGGUAUUAUUGGUUCCUACCUUCUGAAGAACCGCGAUGUCAUUAAUUUGGUGUCGUGGGGAAUCAGGACUGUUACUUUGAAAAAAUUAGAGUGUUUAAAGCAGGCUUACGCUUGAGUACAUUAGCAUGGAAUAAUGAAAUAGGACGUUUGAUUCUAUUUCGUUGGUUUCUAGGAUUGACGUAAUGAUUAAUAGGGAUAGUUGGGGGCAUUAGUAUUCAAUUGUCAGAGGUGAAAUUCUUGGAUUUAUUGAAGACUAACUACUGCGAAAGCAUUUGCCAAGGAUGUUUUCAUUAAUCAAGAACGAAAGUUAGGGGAUCGAAGACGAUCAGAUACCGUCGUAGUCUUAACCAUAAACUAUGCCGACUAGGAAUCAGACGAUGUUAAUUUUUUAAUGACUCGUUUGGCACCUUACGGGAAACCAAAGUGUUUGGGUUC
rnacentral:rRNA from 1 species